rnacentral:rRNA from 1 species
CGUAGGGAACCUGCCCAUGCGGCCGGGACAACUUCCGGAAACGGAUGCUGAUACCGGAUAAGGAAAGCGAGGCAUCUUUGCUUUGUUAAAGGAGCUGCAAGGCUCCGCGCAUGGAUGGACCUGCGGUGCAUUAGCUGGUUGGUGAGGUAAAGGCUCACCAAGGCGACGAUGCAUAGCCGGCCUGAGAGGGCGAACGGCCACACUGGGACUGAGACACGGCCCAGACUCCUACGGAAGGCAGCAG